rnacentral:rRNA from 1 species
UGGGGAAUCUUGCACAAUGGGCGCAAGCCUGAUGCAGCAACGCCGCGUGCGGGAAGACGGCCCUAGGGUUGUAAACCGCUUUCAGGAGGGAAGAAAAUGACGGUACCUCCAGAAGAAGGUGCGGCCAACUACGUGCCAGCAGCCGCGUGACACGUAGGCACCAAGCGUUAUCCGGAUUUAUUGGGCGUAAAGAGCUCGUAGGCGGUUCGGUAAGUCGGGUGUGAAAUCCAAGGCUCAACCUUGGGACGCCACCCGAUACUGCUGUGACUCGAGUGCAGUAGGGGAGCAGGGAAUUCCUGGUGUAGCGGUGAAAUGCGCAGAUAUCAGGAGGAACACCAGUGGCGAAGGCGCUGCUCUGGGCUGUAACUGACGCUGAGGAGCGAAAGCAUGGGUAGCAAAACAGGAUUAGAUACCCUGGUAGUCCAUGCCGUAAACGUUGGGCACUAGGUGUGGGUCUCAACCAACGAGAUCCGCGCCGUCGCUAACGCAUUAAGUGCCCCGCCUGGGAGUACGGUCGCAAGACU